UAGGGAAUCUUCCGCAAUGGGCGAAAGCCUGACGGAGCAACGCCGCGUGAGUGAUGAAGGUCUUCGGAUCGUAAAACUCUGUUAUUAGGGAAGAACAAAUGUGUAAGUAACUAUGCACGUCUUGACGGUACCUAAUCAGAAAGCCACGGCUAACUACGUGCCAGCAGCCGCGGUAAUACGUAGGUGGCAAGCGUUAUCCGGAAUUAUUGGGCGUAAAGCGAGCGCAGGCGGUCAAUUAAGUCUGAUGUCAAAGCCCCCGGCUCAACCGGGGAGGGUCAUUGGAAACUGGUUGACUUGAGUGCAGAAGAGGAGAGUGGAAUUCCAUGUGUAGCGGUGAAAUGCGUAGAUAUAUGGAGGAACACCGGUGGCGAAAGCGGCUCUCUGGUCUGUAACUGACGCUGAGGCUCGAAAGCGUGGGGAGCGAACAGG
rnacentral:rRNA from 1 species